AACCCUCCCAGCAAGCUCCUGUGCAUCCCGAUAUCCCACUGAGCCACCUGUACCCAGAUUGCCCCACACAGAAACUUCUCACCCCACACCUGGUCCCCCCACACUAAGCCCCUCCACAUUUGGAUC